CUCAUUUUUCUACUGCUCGUGAUGUUCAGCCCACAAGAGCUUACUGGUGAAGGAAUGGGACAAGACCCAUCUUUAUGCAAAGCCAGCGUUACAGUAAUGUUCCAGCAUCUCAUAAUCUAUCCUGGGGAAUUCAGCUGCCUCCCAGGGUGAAUACAGGUAUUCCUGAUGACAGUCUGCCUCUAUCUUACAGAGCAGCUUGUUGCUAUAUACCAUUGAAAAGCCUUCAGAGCUGAGAGGUACUACUAACCAAUAACCUGCUUGGCUCAAAGGGCCAGCACCUUCUCUCUAAAGCCCAAGAGGAGUUUGAGGUAAAUGGCUUUGCAAUAGUUACCAUCAAUGGCUGCUAUAUAAAAUUUUCUGUGAUUUUUGUGUGUGAUAGCACUGUGGUCUGGGUGAAUGUACACAGACAUAACUGGCUUAACCCAAAGUCUUUGAUCUCCUGAACCACCAGUGAUGAAUUGCUGCUCACCAGUGAUGAGUUGAAUACCGCCCCAGUCUGAUCAAUGUGUGACUGAAAGGUAUUUUCUGAGCUGUGAGCCUGCCUUCCAGUGACAUGUUCUAAAAAUUGCAAGUUAUUUGAGGAGGCUUUACAGCCAAUAGGAAGUUCUUGGGCUAAGUAGUGUUUCCUAUAAAAUGUGCCCUGAAACUUCUUUCUGCCAAGCAAUAGAUACAAUUGAGAGAUUGUAAAAUGUGACAUAGAAUGAAAGUCUCUCAAGACUACAUUUUUCUUUCUUGAUUUUGCAGGAAAACUAGGUGUCUGUGUUCACUCCAGGCUGAAGUUACAGGUCUGAGCAAAUAAGGUGUAUAAAAAAUGGAAUCUGUCUUGGAGGACAUCAGAAGGUGAAUUUUCCAAGUUCUUGGACAACCUAGCUGUUGAAAAGCUUUCUGGGUUUGGGGGGUAUUUCAGAUGUACCUUAAAGUGUUAGCAGACACAGAUUAAGACACUGGGAGCCAAUGAAACAGCAGUUGAGGGUUUGCUGUGUAUCACAUUUCUGUAUUUUAUCACCCCCUUCCUGCAACAUUAUUUAUCUGGAAUCUACCUGCCCUUUUGUUUUUUAGAUACAAGGGCUUGGUUUUGUUACCCAGGCUGGUUUCAAGGCCAUAGCUUUAAGAGAUCCUCUCACCACAGAUUUCCAAAGUGCUGGGAUUGCAGGUGUGAUUCAUGGCACCCAGACUUUGCUGCCUUUCUUACAUGAUCCAGGCCCAGAACCCAAACUCAGGCACUGUAUAGAUGACCACUUUCGUAAACUACUGACCUAGCUUGUUGCCAAUUGUUGAUUGAACUUCCCAUAACUCCACUUCGUGUCUGUUCCUCUGUAUACAGCCACCUUCUGUUCCCGUCAUGAGCCUUUAGGUCUCCAUUUGCAUAUUGCAAAUACUAUGUUCCAUGUAGGUAGCUCAUUCAGGGCCUUGCUCUUCACUUCAAAAAAGGUUCCCUUGAGGACUGGCUGUCAAUUUGUGUUGCUGUGUUGGUUGUUGAUGAAAAUAAUAAAAUGAUUGAUUACAUA
rnacentral:lncRNA from 1 species